CUAGUAAACUGAAAUUUCCGUGGCAGACACCCCGAAAAACCAGGACGGGCAAGUAGCUAUAGCCAUGGAGCAGCAGCACGGGCAGGACUCCGAGGCUCCGCUGCUGGCCGCCUCGAAGCCCGAUGGCGCCGCGUCGUCGCCGCCGCCCCGCAACAGGUUCCCCUUCUUCUGUGCCGUGCUCGCCUCCAUGACCUCCGUCCUCAUGGGCUACAACGUGGCGGUGAUGAGCGGGGCGCAGAUCUUCAUGGCGGAAGACCUUGGGGUGAGCGACACGCAGAUUGAGCUGCUCUCCGGUGCCAUCAACAUCUACUCGCUCGUCGGCGCGCUGCUCGCUGGCUGGACCUCCGACCGCCUCGGCCGCCGCCUCACCAUUGUGCUCACCAACGGCUUCUUCCUCGUUGGCCCGCUUAUCAUGACGCUCGCCGGCGGGUACACGGCGCUCAUGGUGGGGCGCUUCAUCGCUGGAAUCGGCGUCGGUUACGCGCUCGUAAUCGCGCCGAUCUACGCUGCCGAGAUCGCGCCGGCCUCCUCCCGCGGCCUUCUCAGCUCCCUUCCCGAGAUUUUUAUCAACACCGGGGUGAUGCUGAGCUACGUUUCCAACUUCGCCUUCUCGGCGUUGCCAGCGCACCUGGCGUGGCGGCUGAUGUUCGCGGCCGGGGUUGUGCCCACCGUGUUUCUGGCGGCUGGCGUGCUCACCAUGCCGGAGUCGCCGCGGUGGCUGGCGAUGAAGGGCCGGCUGGACGAGGCGAAAGCCGUGCUCGACAGGACGUCGGACACGCUCGCCGAGGCCGAGCAGCGUCUGCUGGAGAUCGAGGAGGUUGUCAACGCCGGCAGCAACGGCGCCGGCGGGAGCAACGGCGGUGGCGGCACGUGGAAUGAGGUGGCGACCAAGGCCGGCGUCAGGCGCGUGCUGGCCACAGUUCUGGCGCUGCAGUUCUUCCAGCAGGCGUCGGGCAUCGACUCGGUGGUGCUCUACGGCCCGCGCGUGCUCGCCAUGGCCGGCGUCACUUCUAACACCCUCCUCCUGGGCCUCAACGUCCUCUUCGGCGUGGCCAAGGCGGGCUCGAUCCUGAUCGCCAUGGCGCUCGCCGACCGCGUCGGCCGGCGCCCUCUGCUACUGGUGAGCACCGGCGGCAUGACGGCGUCCCUGCUGGUCCUGGGCUCCGUGUUCGCUGCUUUCGCCGGCGCCAAGGACGACGCGGCGGUGGCCGCCGUGGCCGUGGCCGCUGUGGUGGCGUUCGUCUGCACCUUCUCCGUCGGGUUCGGGCCUAUGGCAUGGGUGUACAGCUCGGAGAUCCUCCCUCUGCGGCUGCGCGGACAGGGCGCCGGGCUCGGCACCGCCAUGAACCGCGUGAUGAGCGGCAUCGUCACCAUGACCUUCAUCUCGCUCUACGGGGCCAUCACCAUGGCCGGCGCAUUCUACCUUUAUGCCGCCGUCGCGGCUGCCUCGUUCGUGUUCAUCUACACCUGCCUGCCGGAGACCAGGGGCCGGAACCUCGAGGACAUGGAGCAGCUUUUCCGCACAAAAUGAUCAAUCCACCGACCCGUGGUCACAUUGAUAAUUGUCAACUUGUGAUUGGAAAUAGGGCGGAUAGGAUGGCCCACAGAGUAAAGUAUUCCCUCCGGUCCUUUUUACUCUGCACGUUAGAUUUCCUGAAAAUCAAAUUUUGCUAAGUAUAUCAUAAUGAUAAAUUAGUAGAGUUUUUAGGUAUCUUGCGGUAUAUCAUAAGUUUGGGUCUUGUUAUACAUAUGAUAAUACAGACAAUAUUAUUGGCAAUCCUGUUUUUUCUUCUUCAUAGGGCAUUGUUAAAUGGGAAUAUAACAUACCCAUUGGGUAGAGGGUACGGGUAGGGAAUCGUAUAACCCAGCCUCAUGUACCCAUUUAAAUGUUGACAAGUGGGUUUUCUUUAAUAUCCUAACGUAUUAACUUUCCCCCCACCCUAAUUGUGCUAGGUAAAAACUCUAAUGUGCAAUCAAAUUAUCUAUAUAAAUUAUCGUGAUUUUAUGAACUUAAAGUGUAUGACUAUGUGUUGUUAUUUAUGAUUAUGUGUUGUUUAACAUUUUGUGGUUUGCUUUAUAGAUAAGUUUUUUGUUUAUGAGAAUGUGUUGUUGUUAUAAUAUGUUUUUGUACAUUCUUGGUUAAAAUGUGUUCCUAUUAAUAAUUUAUGAUUAUAGAUUGCUUUUUACAACUAUUUUUUUGUUGAAUUCGAUGUGUUGUAAACGCGGGUACCCAUAUGCCCUGUCGGGUGAUGGGUAUGGAAAAAACUUGUACCCCUGAUGAGUAUGGGUAUGGGUGAUAGGUAAGUUCAGGUUAGACGGGUAAGGGUAUGAGGUGGCUCUACUUGUACCCAUACGUAGCGGGUGCCAUCCCUAGCUAGAGGGUACCCAUGAGGGCGCCACGCGGCCACCCCACGUGGGUGGUGACGAUGUCCUGAAUUAGGGAGUGCUAAUCACGUCGGCCUUCAAUCAUGGGUUGGGCCGAGGACCCCCAAACAACUGACAAGUGGGCCAUGUUUUUCAUGCUCCAUGGUGUACUCAACAUGGAAUUCUCCUAAGACUUGGCUCAUCCAAGACACGUUUGAAUCAUUGGCAUGUUUAUCCCUUGAUGUAACCGACCUACAUGUAGCCCUAGGUACCCCUGGUGCCUAUAUAAGGCGAGGAGUUGAGACCAUAGGGUUAGAUUCAUUAAUGUACAAGCUCAAGGUAGAUCACCCUGUACUUUGUACCCCAUCCACAAUCAAAUACAACAGAAGCAGGACAUAGGGUUUUACCUCUUCGAGAGAGCCUGAACCUAGGUAAACAUCAUGUCCCCUCUUUGUCCUAUUACCAUUAGACAAACAUCACCAGUUCAGGACCCCCUACUCGAGAUCCGCCGGAUUCAACUCCGGCUGGUGGGCCCUAGGCAGCUAGGCUAUGCCAUAUGGCCUCAUGCGCCCUUGGUGGCUUGCCUCCCAACACCCUUUGUCCAUAAAAUCGCACCUCACCUAGAAAAAAUCAUAGAAAUUCCACGAGACUUUCUGCCACCAUCUGCAAGGUAGAACUAGAGCGAAACACUUUUACUCUCUAACGGAGUGAUUCCGCACAGGAAACUUCCCUCUAGGAUGAUGAAAUUUAAGUCAUCGUCAUCACCAACACUUGAUUCAUCAUAUAGAUCAUCAUCUCCAUCAACAUUUUCACCGGCCCCAUGUCAUCUUAGGGCGUAGUGUGCUACGUAUAAUGUUGUACCACCUUGUAGUUUAAUAUGUUGCCAUUUGCUUCUUGAUUUGGUUCUUAUUUGGUGUUGCUCUGCUUUCCACUUUUUGGAUGUUGCUCAUCUUUGGUACUCUACAUUAGGAACGAGUAUAAGAUGAGGAACUACAACAGCAACACAUAUCAGAUUGGGUCCCCCACCUCAACCGUACCAUGCAUCAACCACAUAUCAGAUUAUGAGAAUGUUUGAAGAGAGAAGAAACCAAGACUUUGCUGUUUUUCUGAGAAGCAUGGAAGUAGUGGUUGGACAGAGGCACACCCAAGGCCCAUCGAGGAAAUGCUCUCCACUUUCAAUCGUUUUACGCGCAUUUUUGUUGAACAAUAUCCUCAACGGUAUAGAAAAUGGACAUGUGAUGAGAAGUAGAAUAAGACUGGAGCUCAUAAGGGCAAAAGUCAUUUCAACGAGAAUGACAAAGCUAGCAGCUCUGAAGGUUGAUAUGGUGUGGUUGUAUGACUAACAUUGAAAGGAAAUGUGAUACUUUCAAGCAUUUGGUGGAUCUAGAAGUGCAAUCAGUUGGCAUGAGUAAAAAGGCUCAUGGGAACCAGUAUGAGGUAUGCUUCACUAGACAUAAUAAUUAUUUCCUGAUGGUUGAAAGUUCCCAAGGCGUAUCUCAGAAAUGUGGGAAGCCAUGUCGAAGCUCCACAAAAGGAAGAUCCACUACUGCUUGUUGAUGACAUGAUAGUGGGCUUAGCUUAUAAUGACAUAUAUGGAGACCGGAUUUUGUCACCUAGAUUUGUGAUGCAUUGUAAUUAUGUCCAUAAACACAUUAUGUGCUGUAAAAAAUUUAUGUCCAUCGACAUAAUAUGAUAGCUAUGUCAUCACACAUGAUGCUUGUGGUAUGUCC
rnacentral:rRNA from 1 species